UACGUAGGGGGGCAAGCGUUGUCCGGAAUUAUUGGGCGUAAAGCGCGCGCAGGCGGCUUAUUAAGUCUGAUGUGAAAGCCCACGGCUCAACCGUGGAGGGCCAUUGGAAACUGGUAGGCUUGAGUGCAGGAGAGGAGAGCGGAAUUCCCGGUGUAGCGGUGAAAUGCGUAGAUAUCGGGAGGAAGACCAGUGGCGAAGGCGGGGUCUCUGGACAGUUCCUGACGCUGAGGCACGAAGGCCAGGGGAGCAAACGGG
rnacentral:rRNA from 1 species